rnacentral:sRNA from 1 species
GGAUGUGAGGGCGAUCUGGCUGCGACAUCUGUCACCCCAUUGAUCGCCAGGGUUGAUUCGGCUGAUCUGGCUGGCUAGGCGGGUGUCCCCUUCCUCCCUCACCGCUCCAUGUGCGUCCCUCCCGAAGCUGCGCGCUCGGUCGAAGAGGACGACCAUCCCUGAUAGAGGAGGACCGUUCUUCGGUCAAGGGUAUACGAGUAGCUGCGCUCCCCUGCUAGAACCUCCAAACAAGCUCUC